rnacentral:tRNA from 1 species
GCUCCAGUGGCGCAAUCGGUUAGCGCGCGGUACUUAUACAGCAGUACAAGAGCAGAGCCAUGCCGAAGUUGUGAGUUCGAGCCUCACCUGGAGCA